rnacentral:rRNA from 1 species
GCUUAACACAUGCAAGUCGAGCGGUAACAUGACUAGUAGCAAUACUAGUUGAUGACGAGCGGCGGACGGGUGAGUAACACGUAGGAACUUGCCCAGUAGUGGGGGACAACCAAGGGAAACUUUGGCUAAUACCGCAUAUUCUCGAGAGAGGAAAGCUGCCGCAAGGUGGCGCUAUUGGAGAGGCCUGCGUCCGAUUAGCUAGUUGGUAGGGUAAAAGCCUACCAAGGCGAGGAUCGGUAACUGGUCUGAGAGGACGACCAGUCACACUGGGACUGAGACACGGCCCAGACUCCUACGGGAGGCAGCAGUGGGGAAUCUUGGACAAUGGGGGCAACCCUGAUCCAGCGACGCCGCGUGAAGGACGAAGGUCUUCGGAUUGUAAACUUCUUUUGGAGGGGAUGAAUGCCUUGGUGAAUAGCCAAGGGUGACAGUACUCUCUGAAUAAGCCACGGCUAACUACGUGCCAGCAGCCGCAGUAA